UUCCGGUUGAUCCCGCCGGAGGCUACCGCUAUUGGAGUUCGAUUAAGCCAUGCGAGUCGCGAGUCUUAGGGACUCGGCGUACCGCUCAGUAACACGUGGGUAACCUGCCCUAUGCUGGGGGAUAACCUCGGGAAACUGAGAAUAAUACCCCAUAGUUCACCACGCCUGGAACGGUGGGUGGAUGAAAGCUCCGGCGGCAUAGGAUGGGCCUGCGGCGUAUCAGGUUGUAGGGGGUGUAAUGUACCCUCUAGCCCUCUACGCGUACGGGUGUUGAGAGACAUCGCCCGGAGAUGGAUUCUGAGACACGAAUCCAGACCCCACGGGGUGCAGCAGGCGCGAAAACUUGGCAAUGCGAGAAAUCGUGACCAGGGAACUCCAAGUGCAUCGGGUAAGACCGAUGCUUUUCUUGACUCUUCAAAGGUCUUGGAAUAAGGGGUGGGUAAGGACGGUGCCAGCCGCCGCGGUAAUACCGGCGCCCCAAGUGGUAGUCGCUUUUAUUGGGCCUAAAACGUCCGUAGCCGGUCUGGUACAUUCGUGGGUAAAUCAAGGCGCUCAACGUCUUGAAUUCUGCGAGCACGGCCAGACUUGGGACCGGGUGAGGUGUGGGGUACUCUCAGGGUAGGGGUAAAAUCCUGUCAUCCUGAGAGGACCACCUGUUGCGAAGGCGCCACACUAGAACGGAUCCGACGGUCAGGGACGAAGCCUAGGGGCACGAACCGGAUUAGAUACCCGGGUAGUCCUAGGUGUAAACGCUGUGGACUUGAUGUUGGGAGUGCUCCGAGCACCCUCAGUGUCGAAGCGAAGGUGAUAAGUCCACUGCCUGGGGAGUACGGUCGCAAGGCUGAAACUUAAAGGAAUUGGCGGGGGAGCACUGCAACCUGAGGAUUGUGCGGUUUAAUUGGAUUCAACGCCGG
rnacentral:rRNA from 1 species